rnacentral:lncRNA from 1 species
GGAUAUUUGCAUCAUGUACCAUGUGUUCACUCAGACCCCCAUGAACCUUCUUACUUUGAUGAUUGAGGCCAUGAGAGAGAUCCUAAAUAGGUCUAAGACUCACUUGCCUUUUGGUAUGGCACUCACCCUACUCUUUAGGAGGUUCGGAGUCAAUUUUGAGGGGGAGGUAGUUACUAGGUUGUCUCAUUCUGACACUAUUAACGACCACACACUGCACCAUAUGGAUUUUUCAAAGACUGAUGGCGGUUGGUCAAAGGG